CCUACGGGAGGCAGCAGUGGGGAAUUUUGGACAAUGGGCGCAAGCCUGAUCCAGCAAUGCCGCGUGAGUGAAGAAGGCCUUCGGGUUGUAAAGCUCUUUUGUCAGGGAAGAAACGGUGGGGGCUAAUAUCUCCUACUAAUGACGGUACCUGAAGAAUAAGCACCGGCUAACUACGUGCCAGCAGCCGCGGUAAUACGUAGGGUGCAAGCGUUAAUCGGAAUUACUGGGCGUAAAGCGUGCGCAGGCGGUUCUGUAAGUCUGUCGUGAAAGCCCCGGGCUCAACCUGGGAAUUGCGAUGGAGACUGCAAGGCUUGAAUCUGGCAGAGGGGGGUAGAAUUCCACGUGUAGCAGUGAAAUGCGUAGAGAUGUGGAGGAACACCGAUGGCGAAGGCAGCCCCCUGGGUCAAGAUUGACGCUCAUGCACGAAAGCGUGGGGAGCAAACAGGAUUAGAUACCCUGGUAGUCCACGACCUAACGAUGUCUACUAGUUGUUCGGUUUAACGUUAACGUUAGUACGUCGAGCUACGCGUGAGUAGACCGCCGUCGGGUAGGUACGGUCGCGAGAAGUAAACGUAACAAGUAGAAGUUAGUACGGCGUGAGACGUACGCCGACGGACGACCGACGAGGGAGGUUAGGG
rnacentral:rRNA from 1 species